rnacentral:rRNA from 1 species
CGUACACUCCUACGGGAGGCAGCAGUGGGGAAUUUUGGACAAUGGGCGAAAGCCUGAUCCAGCCAUGCCGCGUGCAGGAUGAAGGCCUUCGGGUUGUAAACUGCUUUUGUACGGAACGAAACGGCCUUUUCUAAUAAAGAGGGCUAAUGACGGUACCGUAAGAAUAAGCACCGGCUAACUACGUGCCAGCAGCCGCGGUAAUACGUAGGGUGCAAGCGUUAAUCGGAAUUACUGGGCGUAAAGCGUGCGCAGGCGGUUAUGUAAGACAGUUGUGAAAUCCCCGGGCUCAACCUGGGAACUGCAUCUGUGACUGCAUAGCUAGAGUACGGUAGAGGGGGAUGGAAUUCCGCGUGUAGCAGUGAAAUGCGUAGAUAUGCGGAGGAACACCGAUGGCGAAGGCAAUCCCCUGGACCUGUACUGACGCUCAUGCACGAAAGCGUGGGGAGCAAACAGGAUUAGAAACCCUUGUAGUCC